ACAUGCCUAUAGCAUAGAGUUAAUGCACUGGAUCCCAUUAGAACUUCGCAGUUAAGCGCGCUCAGGCUAGAGUAGUACCAGGAUGGGAAGUCCUAGUGUUUUGCAUGCC
rnacentral:rRNA from 1 species